rfam:Flavobacterium sp. FPG59 Contig_85, whole genome shotgun sequence.
UUUUAGCCCCGAUUGCAACGGAAAUCCUUUUUUAUCCGCUUCUUUAGCGGGAAAAAAGAUUGCAGUGAAAAGCGGGAAAUAGC